rnacentral:rRNA from 1 species
CCUACGGGGGGCAGCAGUCGAGAAUCAUUCACAAUGGGGGAAACCCUGAUGGUGCGACGCCGCGUGGGGGAAUGAAGGUCUUCGGAUUGUAAACCCCUGUCAUGUGGGAGCAAAUUAAAAAGAUCGUACCACACUAGGCAGAGACGGCUAACUCUGUGCCAGCAGCCGCGGUAAUACAGAGGUCUCAAGCGUUGUUCGGAAUCACUGGGCGUAAAGCGUGCGUAGGCUGUUUCGUAAGUCGUGUGUGAAAGGCGCGGGCUCAACCCGCGGACGGCACAUGAUACUGCGGGACUAGAGUAAUGGAGGGGGAACCGGAAUUCUCGGUGUAGCAGUGAAAUGCGUAGAUAUCGAGAGGAACACUCGUGGCGAAGGCGGGUUCCUGGACAUUAACUGACGCUGAGGCACGAAGGCCAGGGGAGCGAAAGGGAUUAGAUACCCUUGUAGUC